AGGGCGUAACCCGGCAACCUUGCAAACAACACCUUGUCAGCACCUGUCAACCCUGCUGGUGCUGACACCUAUCAUGGGAAUGGGAGGAGUGAAAGACAAACAUGUUAGUUACCAGACUGAUGUGACUUGGCUUGUAGAUAGUAGUAUUAUGGCAAAUCUGUAAGGUGACUCUUGAUCUCCAUGUGUCGGAAUAUGAAGAAUAUGGGUGGAUGACUGUGCGGAUAAGGAAAAGGAAAGGCAAAAGCGAGGACAGCUGCAAAGAAAUUAAGAACAUCAUACAUAACCGGACUGUGCUGUUUUUCUGUUCAACCUGGACUGUCUGUGUUGUUCUGGAAAUCGUUAUUGAUGAAUGAAGAUGAAGAAUAAAAUAAGGCUGUGGGCUAAAACCUUUUUAAAAGGCCCAACGCAGUGGAAAUAAAAAGAGCCAUCACAUCAUCCAAUAUAUGUAUUCUGCCAUACAUCCCAACGUCCUCAAUUCAAAAUCACAGCUGGGGUCAAAGAUAAAUUGUGGGUAAUGUAUACCCGUGUCUUGUCACAUGUCUGAUUCAAUUAGAGAGAGUGUGUUACA